rnacentral:tRNA from 1 species
GCGCCUAUAGUAAAAUGGAUAUUAUAAGGGACUCCGAAGCCCUAGUUGCAGGUUCGAUUCCUGCUAGGCGCGCCA